rnacentral:rRNA from 1 species
GAUCAAGCGUCUCAAGGGCACCUGGUGGAUGCCUUGGCACCGAGAGGCGAUGAAGGACGUGGCACGCUGCGAAAAGCCACGGGGAGCUGCGAGCAAGCUGUGAUCCGUGGAUGUCCGAAUGGGGAAACCCGGCCCGUAUAGGGUCGCCCCGUGCUGAACCCAUAGGCACGGCGGCGCGAACCCGGGGAACUGAAACAUCUAAGUACCCGGAGGAAAGGAAAUCAACCGAGACUCCCUGAGUAGUGGCGAGCGAAAGGGGACCAGGCCAGUGGCCGCGAUACGGCGAACCGGAAGCGUCUGGAAAGGCGCCCCAAAGAGGGUGAUAGGCCCGUACGGGUAGGUCGGUCGCGGUCCGUGAGUAGGGCGGGACACGGAGUAUCCUGUCUGAAGAUGGGGGGACCACCCUCCAAGCCUAAGUACUCCUCGGUGACCGAUAGCGAACCAGUACCGUGAGGGAAAGGUGAAAAGCACCCCGACGAGGGGAGUGAAACAGAACCUGAAACCGGGUGCCUACAAUCAGUGGGAGCACCACUGCGGUGGUGUGACUGCGUACCUCUUGCAUAAUGGGUCAGCGAGUUGGUGUCGCGAGCAAGCUUAAGCCGUUAGGUGGAGGCGAAGCGAAAGCGAGUCUUAACAGGGCGUCGAGUUCGCGGCACCAGACCCGAAACCGGGUGAUCUAGCCAUGGACAGGCUGAAGGUGGGGUGACACCCACUGGAGGGCCGAACCGACCGAUGUUGCAAAAUCGGCGGAUGAUCUGUGGUUAGGGGUGAAAGGCCAAUCAAACCCGGAGAUAGCUGGUUCUCCGCGAAACCUAUUUUGGUAGGGCGUCGCGUGGUCACCGCCGGGGGUAGAGCACUGGAUGGGCUAGGGCCCCGCGAGGGGUACCAAACCUAACCAAACUGCGAAUACCGGCGAGUGCAGCGCGGCAGACAGUCCAUGGGUGCUAAGGUCCGUGGACGAGAGGGAAACAGCCCAGACCGUCGGCUAAGGUCCCAAAGUGGCAGCUAAGUGGGAAAGGAUGUGGGACGGCCAAGACAGCCAGGAGGUUGGCUUAGAAGCAGCCAUCCUUUAAAGAAAGCGUAACAGCUCACUGGCCUAAAUAAGCUGUCCUGCGCCGAAAUAUGUAACGGGGCUCAAGCUGUCCACCGAAGCCACGGACGCACAAUGUGCGUGGUAGCGGAGCGUUCCGUAGGCCUGCGAAGGGGCACCCGUGAGGGGCCCUGGAGGUAUCGGAAGUGCGAAUGCUGACAUGAGUAGCGUUAAAAGGUGUGAGAAACACCUUCGCCGAAAGCCCAAGGGUUCCUGCGCAAGGCUAAUCCGCGCAGGGUGAGCCGGCCCCUAAGGCGAGGGCGAAAGCCGUAGCCGAUGGGAACCAGGUUAAUAGUCCUGGGCCUGUGGGUGGUGACGAAUCCGAAGUGUCGUCGGGGCUUACCGGAUUGUCCCGGCGGCUGGAGGGUUCCUGGAAAUAGCCCCCACACACAGACCGUACCCGAAACCGACACUGGUGGGCUGGUUGAGUAUACCGAGGCGCUUGAGAGAACGGCGCUGAAGGAAUUCGGCAAAUUGCUCCCGUAAGUUCGCGAGAAGGGAGCCCGGCUGUCGGGCAACCGGCGGUCGGGGGCACAGACCAGGGGGCGGCGACUGUUUACUAAAAACACAGGACUCUGCGAAGCCGCAAGGCGACGUAUAGGGUCUGACGCCUGCCCGGUGCCGGAAGGUUAAGGGGAGGGGUGCAAGCCCCGAACCGAAGCCCCGGUAAACGGCGGCCGUAACUAUAACGGUCCUAAGGUAGCGAAAUUCCUUGUCGGGUAAGUUCCGACCUGCACGAAUGGCGUAACGACUGCCCCACUGUCUCCAGCGCCGACUCAGCGAAAUUGAAUUCUCCGUGAAGAUGCGGAGUACCCGCGGUCAGACGGAAAGACCCCGUGGACCUUUACUACAGCUUUGCAGUGGCACUAGAGCCGGCAUGUGUAGGAUAGGUGGGAGGCUUGGAAACGGACGCGCCAGCGUUCGUGGAGCCGACCUUGAAAUACCACCCUUGUCGGUUCUAGUGCCUAACCGAGGCCCGUGAGCCGGGUCCGGGACACUGCAUGGCGGGUAGUUUGACUGGGGCGGUCGCCUCCCAAACGGUAACGGAGGCGCGCGAAGGUGGGCUCAGGCUGGUCGGAAAUCAGCUGGUGCGUGCAAUGGCAUAAGCCCGCCUGACUGCGAGGCCGACGGGCCGAGCAGAGACGAAAGUCGGUCAUAGUGAUCCGGUGGUCCCGCGUGGAAGGGCCAUCGCUCAACGGAUAAAAGGUACCCCGGGGAUAACAGGCUUAUCUCCCCCAAGAGUCCACAUCGACGGGGAGGUUUGGCACCUCGAUGUCGGCUCAUCGCAUCCUGGGGCUGAAGCGGGUCCCAAGGGUUCGGCUGUUCGCCGAUUAAAGCGGUACGUGAGCUGGGUUUAGAACGUCGUGAGACAGUUCGGUCCCUAUCUGCCGCGGGUGUUCGAGACUUGAGAGGACCUGUCCCUAGUACGAGAGGACCGGGAUGGACGCAGCUCUGGUGGACCGGUUGUCGCGCCAGCGGCAUAGCCGGGUAGCUACCUGCGGACGAGAUAACCGCUGAAUGCAUCUAAGCGGGAAACUCUCCUCAAAACCAGGUCUCGCCAGAAGAGCCGUGGUAGACCACCACGUCGAUAGGCCGGAGGUGGAAGCGCAGCAAUGUGUGAAGCCAACCGGUCCUAAUCGCUCGAUCGGCUUGAUCC